rnacentral:rRNA from 1 species
UACAGAGGGUGCGAGCGUUAAUCGGAUUUACUGGGCGUAAAGGGCGCGUAGGCGGUGAGAUGUGUGUGAUGUGAAAGCCCCGGGCUCAACCUGGGAAGUGCAUCGCAAACUAUCUGACUAGAGUAUAUGAGAGGGUGGCGGAAUUUCCGGUGUAGCGGUGAAAUGCGUAGAUAUCGGAAGGAACGUCAAUGGCGAAGGCAGCCACCUGGCAUAAUACUGACGCUGAGGCGCGAAAGCGUGGGGAGCGAACAGGAUUAGAUACCCUGGUAGUCCACGCCGUAAACGAUGAGUACUAAAGGUUGGCAGGGGAACCUAUCAGUCUUGAAGUUAACACGAUAAGUACUCCGCCUGGGAAGUACGGCCGCAAGGUUGAAACUCAAAUGAAUUGACGGGGGCCCGCACAAGCGGUGGAGCAUGUGGUUUAAUUCGAUGCAACGCGAAGAACCUUACCUACCCUUGACAUCCUGCGAAUCCCGAUGAGAGUUGGGAGUGCCGAAAGGAGCGCAGAGACAGGUGCUGCAUGGCUGUCGUCAGCUCGUGUUGUGAGAUGUUGGGUUAAGUCCCGUAACGAGCGCAACCCUUGUCCUUAGUUGCCAGCAUUAAGUUGGGGACUCUAAGGAGACUGCCGGUGAGGAACCGGAGGAAGGCGGGGACGACGUCAAGUCAUCAUGGCCUUUAUGGGUAGGGCUACACACGUGCUACAAUGGGGCGUACAGAGGGUCGCGAACCCGCGAGGGGGAGCCAAUCUCAUAAAGCGUCUCGUAGUCCGGAUUGGAGUCUGCAACUCGACUCCAUGAAGUUGGAAUCGCUAGUAAUCGCGAAUCAGCACUGUCGCGGUGAAUACGUUCCCGGGCCU